AACUCAGCUAGGGAGAGUCUAACAUAAUCACUGAUGAGACCUAGACGAAACUACACAUUGCAUCAUAGUGUAGUCUGAUA
rnacentral:ribozyme from 1 species